CAAUAGCGUAUAUUAAAGUUGUUGCAGUUAAAAAGCUCGUAGUUGAAUUUCUGGCUCUGCCGGUGCACCCUUUCGGGCCCGCACCCGCAGAGUCAUCCUCGUCCUUCCUGGGCGUCAUUUACUGUGAAGAAAUUAGAGUGUUUAAAGCAGGCUUUAGGCUUGAAUACAUUAGCAUGGAAUAAUAAGAUAGGACCCGAACUGCUAUUUUGUUGGUUGCGCAUUUGGGUAAUGAUUAAUAGGGACAGUUGGGGGCAUUCAUAUUUAACUGUCAGAGGUGAAAUUCUAUGACCUGUUAAAGAUGAACUACUGCGAAAGCAUUUGCCAAGGAUGUUUUCAUUAA
rnacentral:rRNA from 1 species